CACAUGCUCCUUAGAUCCAUCUUUGUGAGUAUCUUUGUACUGAGUUCUGCUGGAUAACUUUGAGUUUCUAGCAGUUCCAGUCAGAGAUAUUCAGCAACUUUUUGGUUGUACAGUCAAAGAUGCUUGAGUCAUUGGCAUGUCAGAGUAAUAUAACUGCAUGUUAGCUUUCUGUUCUGAUAGAAGUGGCUGUAAAUAUACAAGUCAUUUAUCACUAUCGGGACUUGGCUGGUAUGCAGACAUG
rnacentral:snoRNA from 1 species